rnacentral:rRNA from 1 species
GGACUACCGGGGUAUCUAAUCCUGUUUGCUCCCCACGCUUUCGUGCCUCAACGUCAGGAGUGAGCCAAGAAGCUGCCUUCGCCAUCGGUGUUCCUCCUGAGAUCCACGCAUUUUACCGCUACUCCAGGAAUUCCACUUCUCUCUCUCACCCUCUAGCACGCCAGUUUUCAUUGCAGAACUCCGGUUAGGCCGAAGCCUUUAACAACGAACUUAACAUACCGUCUACGCACCCUUUACGCCCAGUGAUUCCGAAUAACGUUUGCACCCUUCGUAUUACCGCGGCUGCUGGCAC